UUCAGGACCGAGUUUACAUUUAUAAGGAACAUUUAUUAAUUGUUCUCUCUUCGAGUAUCAAGACAUUUUCUACAUCUGGAUCAUCUGUUUUGCCACACUAACAGCAACAGAAGGGCAAGGGGAACUAGGUGUACAUCCAACUUGCAGUUGCGGGUGUGACUCUUCUGAGAUAUAUAGGAAUGACACAAUGGAUGAAUUGAUUUAACAGGUGAAGUACAUAAAGAAUAUCUAUAUCCAGAAGUGUGAUAGAACUAUAUAAGGUUAAUAACAACUUUUUUGCAUUAUUGACCAAGCAAUCCAGCAACCUACUAAAUGACUGACAGUAACUUUUAACAAUUGUCAACAUUUAAUACAGCAGAAUCACUUUCUGUUUGAAUGUCAAACGUUAGGACAUUACAAAAGUCAUCAAGUUUAAAGCUCCUUUGUUCUUGACAUCAAGUAAAUUAAGUCUAAUGGAAACUGUUUUUUAACCCAAGUGGAUUUUUUUAGAACUGUAUGCAGCCAUAGAUUUGCCAACUCUUGGAUACCAAAGUAAAUCGCCCUACCGUAGGAUAUAGCUCUGGCAUGGCCAAAGAGGAGGCUAGCCAUGACAAGCAUUUGAUGUAACAUGUUUUGUGUUGUGUAAAUGAAAAGGAAUGAAUAGACAAAUCAAAGAAUUCCCUGCAUAUAGAGAGCGUUUACUAAUAUAGGGUUGAGGAUAGGGAACUGGGCCAGGCUUCAAAAAGGGAUAUGAUAUGGUGUAGAGUUAAUACUUUGGAGUAGGGUUUAGUGUUAAGGGUUAGGGAUGUAGGUAGAGGUUAGGUUGGUUGG